AACGCAUCAAAGAAACUUGUCGUUUCUCUACUAAAAUAGUUGACGUAAAUUAUAAAUUUAAUUACCAACCAUCAAUAAUUAAUUUAUCAUAAUUUAAUUAAUAAACUAGUAUGAGUGUCCAUCAAAUUGCUAGUGGAAAUAUUAAAAUGAGCAACAGUGGCCGCAGAUCUGUCAACAAUCUAACCUAAAGUUCAUUUGUCAAUAAAAACUAAUCGAAUAUAUCAAGAAUAAGACACGAGGGUUUUGUCCGGUCUGAAAGAUUUUUAUUUUUGGGAAAAAACAAAAUAUCGAAAAUAGAAAACUUGAGCCACUUGGUCAACCUCCAGCUGCUGAGCUUGCAGAGCAACCGCAUUACGAAGAUCGAAAACUUGGAAACUCUGAUCCAACUUGACCAGUUGUACUUGUCGGAGAACGGGCUGACUUGCAUCGAGGGUCUGGAGUCCUGCAAGUUGCUGCAAUAAUCAAAUCAAGAAGAUCGAAAACAUAAAACAUUUGGAGUUAUUGGAACAGUUCUGGAUAAAUAAUGAUCAAAUCGAAGAUUGGACAGCAAUCGACACUCUAGCUGAGAAUAAAAAGCUACAGACAGUUAAUCUGGAACACAAUCCGAUUGCAAGUGAUCCGAAUUACAGAAGAAAAAUUAAAUUACUCUCGCCUUGGCUGGUCCAAUUAGGAGCCACACUUUGCAGGUAAACUAUUGACAGCCUUAAAAAAAAUCAAAUCGUCCAAAACUCUAAACCCUAUUCGCAAUUACUCAGAACUUUGGUCCUUUUUUUUACUUGAAUAUUUAAAAAUAUUUAAACCAAAUAUUAUAUCUUUGAAAAUAUGAAUACUUUUCAUUUUAAAUAGUAUUUUAUAUAUAAAUAAUUAAUUAAUAACAUAAUGUACUGAAAGUAAUUGAAAUUACCUCAAGUUUAUCCGCAGCUUCCUGUCAGUAAUUUGAAUAAAAAAAUGUUGAAUGCUAACUAAGUUAAUUAUUAUCGAAUAAAUAAUAUUUAUAUAUACUUUUUUAAGUAAUACUCACUUUGAUGAAAAUUUAUUUCUCAUCAUUGUGUACUGAGGUAUUAUUCAAAC